rnacentral:lncRNA from 1 species
UAUAUUGAUCCUUUUAUUCAGAGUAGUUAACACUGAAUGUUUGUCGCUCAAGAUACAUCAUUAAACCAUUAAACCAAAUUAGGCAAAAUUCAAGAUUUCAAGAAUCGCAACUUAGUCUUCACAUUAUUCUUCACAUAGUAAGCUAUCCAAUACCCAUUCCGUUCACGCUCCCAUUACACAAGACAACAUGAAAGAAACCAAAUUAAGCAAGAACCAAAGUUUCAAGAAUCUCAACUUGAAACAUAGAAGUUCUCUAGUUUUCAAGAUAAAAACCAAAGUCAGUGUCUUCACUCCUGAUGAACAUGAUGCAGCUGAUGGUCUAGUUUUGUUGCAAAACCUAUUCCAAAAGAAGGAGGUUAUUAGAAAAUUCAAAAUAACUUUUCGUGGCAAAAAGAUUUGUGAAAGAAUCUACAACAACAAUAGGUCGAUCGUUUCUUGCCAUUGUUAAAAGAAGGUGAAGAUGAUGAAGAAGGAAUAUAUGUCACUGCAUAUGACAUGCACGGCAAAGUGUUCAACAUGAAUUUCAAAUUAAAGAGUAUAGACUUAAAGUAUAGGAAUUUGAUGAAUCAUUGUAGUAAGAUUUUCACAAAUUAUUAAUUACUGAGUUAGUUUUAAGACUUCUUUAUUUUUU